GUUCUCCAAGGCAGCCUGUCAAUUCCACAGCUCGCCCUUCAUGCCACUCAGAUAGUAGGAGCACACUUCACAAAGCCGGGAUGACAGGGAUUAGAUUUGACAUGAAAGGUGCUGGCUGGUCUGCUGCCUGGAUCACAAGCGAGCUCUGGUUACACACAAGUCAGGGCUAGAAAGAACCAGCACACAUAAUGCUCAGAGGCACUAUGGAAGGCCUCCAGAUGUUGGAUCAAUAGCCUCAUCUGUAACCAGGAGGAGCAGGAGCUCAGUAUUAUAGGGACGUUGUUGAUGGCUCACACAGGGAAACCCAGCGAGCUCACCAUUUUAUUUGCAGAUGCCACCACUGGACUUUCAGUUUGGUGCAUUAUAAUUGUUUUAAAGGUCCCAUAUUGUAAAAAGUGAAAUUUUCAGGUCUAUUAUACUA